rnacentral:tRNA from 1 species
GCAAUGGUGGCUUAGUGGUAGGAUUCUUGCCUUCCAUGCAAGAAACCCAGGUUUGAUUCCUGGCCAAUGCA